rnacentral:lncRNA from 1 species
GCGGUAACGAGGCGUCCAGGAAACUCCUCCUUCUCCUUGCGGUCCCCCGGAAUUGGGCCAAUAUGGAGAGGAGGUGCUAGGGGCAGGCGCCCUUGGUUGCUAGGUUGCGUGAAAAAUAUCCUGAGGAAUACAAAGAAUUGUCUCAGCUGUGUGAACAUGUUAUACUUCAUAACAACCCCCGUGCUCCAGCUGUUUGAACUUCAUCCUGUGUGCUGGUCGUAUACUGAAUUUGUCAUUCCCAUUUGUUCUGGUGGCA